UCGGGAAUUUUGCUCAAUGGGGGAAACCCUGAAGCAGCAACGCCGCGUGAGGGAUGAAGGCCUUCGGGUUGUAAACCUCUUUUGUCAGGGACGAUGAUGACGGUACCUGGCGAAUAAGCCACGGCUAACUACGUGCCAGCAGCCGCGGUAAUACGUAGGUGGCAAGCGUUGUCCGGAUUUACUGGGCGUAAAGAGCGCGCAGGCGGUCUUGUAAGUCGAGUGUGAAAGCCCCUGGCUCAACCAGGGAGGGUCAUUCGAUACUGCUUGACUCGAAGGCAGGAGAGGGAAGUGGAAUUCCGGGUGUAGUGGUGAAAUGCGUAGAUAUCCGGAGGAACACCAGUGGCGAAGGCGACUUUCUGGCCUGUUCUUGACGCUGAGGCGCGAAAGCUAGGGGAGCAAACG
rnacentral:rRNA from 1 species